rnacentral:rRNA from 1 species
UACGAAGGGGGGCUAGCGUUGCUCGGAAUCACUGGGCGUAAAGGGUGCGUAGGCGGGUCUUUUAAGUCAGGGGGUGAAAUCCUGGAGCUCAACUCCAGAACUGCCUUUGAUACUGAAGAUCUUGAGUUCGGGAGAGGUGAGUGGAACUGCGAGUGUAGAGGUGAAAUUCGUAGAUAUUCGCAAGAACACCAGUGGCGAAGGCGGCUCACUGGCCCGAUACUGACGCUGAGGCACGAAAGCGUGGGGGAGCGAACAGG